AAAAAAAACAGGACCACCUCUCAUUUACAGGAUGAAGCAUAUAUGUUGCUAGAAAAAUUGCAGGACCUGGGAAUAAGGGCUGUUGCAUUGCUGUCAAAGCCCGGAAGAAGGCCAAAUUAAUGGGUGUCUGAGGUUUUGGCACCCAGUUGUGAGCUGACAGAGACAUCACAUAAAUGCCUAGAAAGAAUUAAGGACCUGUAUGAUAUUGUUAUUCAAGAAUGCUCACACACACUGACAGGGAGCCAGGAUUUUUACCCUAUGAAGAGGGUUGCCAAAUGCAGAGUUAUUAAGGUGAAA